UGUUGCUAUAAACAUUCAUAUGCGUGUUUUUGGGUGGUGGACAUAAAUAUUUAUCAUCAAUUUCUCCCAGCCUUUUGGUUGAGGGUGUGCCUGAGACAAAGUCAGUGAAGGUGGCCACAAAGCCUGUCCAUUUGCUGAUGUCACACUGGUGGAUCCCUCAAGGAGAGGAAGACAGGAGAGCUGGCUGCUUCAGAGGCCAUUCAGCCUGAUAAACGAGCUGAGGACUUUGUGCCAGGCACUGAGAAAGAAAGUCUUCUUCUAAGCGUUCGUGCUAGAUCUUAUUGGCCUCCAGAUAUCCACGACCAGAACCCUCUCCAUUUAAGACAAGAAUUCUUUUUCCUUUGGGAAGGCCAAGUGAAGGAAAUGUUGAUCCCAGGCAGUGAUAUCUGCAACCUAGAGACUUAAUCCUGACGAGGCUGAUGAAUGUGUGUGUCGAGCUGUUCCUGGCAAACACAGCACCUAUCAGAUAUCACAGCAAAACAACAACAACGACAAAAACGGUUGUUCUUUGGAGUCAGUUUGCUCCUCGUAGGAGGGGUCUAGGUGGAAGGGGCUGAUUUUCAAGCCGAGGCAGUGACUUCUGGGUCAGAUGUGGGUCUGGGACACAGGGAUGGGGACAGGAAUGUGUCUGGGAGGGUGGGCAGGGCUUGAUGUCUUUGGAACGAAGCUCCAGAAGGGCAAGGCACCCUCCUGGGGUUAUGACUGGGCCUGGUGAUGGCAACGAGGAAGGGUGUGUUUGCCGUUGAAGUAUUUAACCAUUGUCUCACUAGUCAGAAAACAAGACUGGCUUGUUGCUUCAUCCCAGCCCAGGGCCCUUCAAACUCAGAUCUCAGCAUGACCCACUCAGGGAACUGUUCUGAGUUUCUCAGUAGGCGACGUCCAGCCCAACUAGCAAGUCUCUCAACCGUAUUACUGAUUUUGAGGAUUUAAAAAAAAGUUUCUCUUUAUUUCUGAUAGUUGAAUUUGGAUUUCAUUACAAUGAUCGACUUGAAAUAUGUGCCGGAGUGUGGCUCUUGUACCACCUACAGCAGAAUCGCCUCAGGGUAGGGGCGUUGAAAAAUGCAUACUUUCCCCAGUCCCAUUCCAGACACACGGAAUGUCUAUUAAAAAUGUUU